rnacentral:rRNA from 1 species
GACGAACGCUGGCGGCGUGCUUAACACAUGCAAGUCGAACGGAAAGGCCCUGCUUUUGUGGGGUGCUCGAGUGGCGAACGGGUGAGUAACACGUGAGUAACCUGCCCUUGACUUUGGGAUAACUUCAGGAAACUGGGGCUGAUACCGGAUAGGAGCUCCUGCUGCAUGGUGGGGGUUGGAAAGUUUCGGCGGUUGGGGAUGGACUCGCGGCUUAUCAGCUUGUUGGUGGGGUAGUGGCUUACCAAGGCUUUGACGGGUAGCCGGCCUGAGAGGGUGACCGGCCACAUUGGGACUGAGAUACGGCCCAGACUGCUACGGGAGGCAGGAGUGGGGAAUAGUGCACAAUGGGCGGAAGCCUGAUGCAGCAACGCCGCGUGCGGGAUGACGGCCUUCGGGUUGGAAACCGCUUUCGCCUGUGACGAAGCGUGAGUGACGGUAAUGGGUAAAGAAGCACCGGCUAACUACGUG